AUAAUUUCGUCAGCAUCCCGGAAUGGCAUUUCUUCGUUGGUCUGGCGACGAGAUUAUCUCACCGGCACACGAAUUAUUUCACGUCGGACAACAGUUGGUAAGGUCGUUGACGUUUGAAUGGCCCUGCACCAUAGCGGAUGCCGUCGUCCGCGUCAACUGUCCCCUUUCUCUGGAAUCGACCCGUCGGCUGGGUAUGCCUGAAAAGCCAGUUUUCCUAGGACAAAGCGAGGCCGCAAAGUGACAUAAAACCCGACGCGACCUGCCAAGGCGCUGUUGCCCAGGGAGACUCCAGACUCCAGUCAUGUAUAUUCAGGGAGCUCCUUACUUAGACUUUACCCAUGAUGGGUCUUCAGUCAGUUCUGUAUGGCUGUAGUGACAAGGGGAUCAUAGACUGAUAGAGCUAUCCCGGGAGAGUAGAAUGAAUGGGAUCGGGAGCUUAGAUUUUCACCGACUAGGUGGAGAGCAAUGGUCGUAAAAUCCACCUGGCGAAAUGGUGGUAAAUACACGAUAUGCCCGCAGUACAAUCUCCAAGCUGCAAAGUUCUGGAAAAGAACACUCCUUCCCGGGAGCGCGUUUUGUGGGCAGGCACUUUUGGUACUUUUCUGGUAUGUUUCAUGUUUGGUGUAACAGAAUUCGACUAAAUGCCUGCCAUAAGGCUUGGACAGUGCAUAGUUCUGCCAAUUUCACUUUUGUCACUUAGGGUAUGCCACGUUUCUAUGCAGAAUGAGCGCAAUUGCGCCAAUUUAGCCCUAUAAAGAUCAGUCUAUUCUUAUUAUUCUUUCAUUCAACAUCAUAUGCCUCCACUGAUGAGCUCAGGAGGAGCGAAACAGCUGUCUGGAGGGUCAUUGUCAAUAUCAAUCUAUAUACCGGAAUUGUCCUCGCUGUGGUGAUGGUGAUCAUGGCAUGAAGAGCACACACCUCAUCAAGAAAUCGAUAACUCUGGAGGACAUCUAUGUUGCAUGCAGGAAUUGUUGGACCAAAGUGGAAGUGACAUGCGUAGUCGAGCCAGUAGGCCUCCGCAAGAAGAGCAUUUAUUCCUCGCAGCCAUAUCCUUAUCCUUCUGCAUUUAUUCCGGUGUGUCCAUGCGGCAUUUUGGUGUUAGUUCUUUGCAAUAUACCGGUACAUGUCCUGAGAACCUCGUACGUGAAUGAUGCUGUGCUGGGGAUGAUUCCCCGCGAGUUUAGAGGGCUCCCCCUCUCUGUCUCUCUUUCUCUCUCUCUCUCUCUCUCUCUCUCUCUCUCUCUCUCUCUCUCUCUCUCUCUCUCUCUCUCUCUCUCUCUCUCUCUCUCUCUGCCCCUCUCUCUCUCUCUCUCUCUCUCUCUCUCUCUCUCUCUCUCUCUCUCUCUCUCUCUCUCUCUCUCUCUCUCUC